GACGUAGGGCGCGAGCGUUUUCCGGAUUUAUUGGGCGUAAAGAGCUCGUAGGCGGCUUGUUGCGUCAGCUGUGAAAACCCGCAGCUCAACUGUGGGCUUGCAGCUGAUACGGGCAGGCUUGAGUUCGGUAGGGGAGACUGGAAUUCCUGGUGUAGCGGUGAAAUGCGCAGAUAUCGGAAGGAACAUCAGUGGCGAAAGCGGCUUCCUGGUCCAGCACCGACGUUCAGGCACGAAAGCGUGGGGAGCAAACAGG
rnacentral:rRNA from 1 species